rnacentral:rRNA from 1 species
ACAGCAGUAGCCGCGGUAAUACAGAGGGUGCGAGCGUUAAUCGGAUUUACUGGGCGUAAAGCGUGCGUAGGCGGCUAAUUGAGUCGGAUGUGAAAUCCCCGAGCUUAACUUGGGAAUUGCAUUCGAUACUGGUUAGCUAGAGUGUGGGAGAGGAUGGUAGAAUUCCAGGUGUAGCGGUGAAAUGCGUAGAGAUCUGGAGGAAUACCGAUGGCGAAGGCAGCCAUCUGGCCUAACACUGACGCUGAGGUACGAAAGCAUGGGGAGCAAACAGGAUUAGAUACCCCAGUAGUCCCUGUCUCUUAUAA